rnacentral:lncRNA from 1 species
AGCCUCAUGCCACGUCUCUGCAAGGGGAUCGGGCAGAGUUUGUUCACUGUGAAGUAAUGUUUGUGUUAAUAGUUACAGGUGGGGUGACUGGGAAUCCAUGCCUGGAAAGCCUGUGAUCUUGCUGAUUUCCGUGCCCUCUCUGGAAUGCUGUGAAAAAUCUCACAUGACGGCUUUGAGGGUUGCUGGAUCUCUCACCGGUCAGCUGCCCAUUUUAGAAAAUUAUUCUUUGGAUAUUCCUUGGAUGGCAGAAAAAAACAUCACAACAGCAUUUAGAAGUGGAAUAGCAGAGGAACUGCAAAAGCAGACAAAGAAGCAGAAAGCAUGUGUUUCAGCUGAGACGGGAUGUCCAUGUCACACUGGAAGGUGGAAAUGUGAGGUGAUAAUCCUUCAGCUUGCCUGCCUGUCUAAAUGUCUGCCGGGGCCUCCUCCCACUUUCUUAUGUAUUUCUUAAAUCACAGACUCACAGAAUCAUCUAGGUUGGAAGAGACCUCCAAGAUCACCUAGUCCAACCUCUGAUCUAUCAGUCCUCCACUAAACCAUACCACUAAGCUAUAUCACUGUUUUGCUUUAAGACAUUCCUGUACAAAGUCUUGCUGAAUUCAGGGAACUGAAUGGACAAAAAGCUAGAGAAAAGUGUAUAUAUAUUUUUGUCUCUGUAGGUCAAGUUUUAUGCCCCCUUUGUUUUCUGCAUCAGCUUGCUGUGGGGUCACAGGUGCAGGAGGGAGCAGUGGGAGCAGCCUGACCUCUCACAUGACAGUGAACUCUGGCGCCAAAACUUAGUGAGUCACAAAUGUUGAACAAGACAGUUUUAGCUUUUGAUAGCGCUAGGCACUUUAAUUUCCCCGUUCUCAUUCAUUAGCAAAAUCUUUCUGUGCAUAAUGCCCCUUGUACUUUGGAAGAAUAUCUGCACAUUAAAAGAACACCUUGUUUCCAGUUUAAUGGAAACACAUCUCACAGUAAUUUCAUUUAUAUCAUAGUUGACAAAAAGAACCCCUCUCCCAGGAACAAAAGUCUGUCAGGGUAACAGGAGGGUAGCAUUUGCUUUUCCCUUGGUUGCAAAGCUCAUUUUUUCCUGUAAUUGGAUGUUAGCACCUCUGACACUAUGACAGAUAUCACAGACGAUGUCCUGGCACCGUCCCAACUGAUCCACAGUGCAGGCUACAGCAGUGCUGUAACUUGUGCUCCUAACUUCAGGUUUCAGUUUCCCAAGGAAGGACCAUGCCAGAGUAUUUCCUCUUUCCUCUGAGGUGUGGAGAGAAGAAUCAGAGGAUUGUUGGCCUGAUGGUCUCUGGCUGAGACAGAUGGCCUUUUGCAUAUUUCCCAGUGCCAUGGGGAUGCAGCUACAGACUUAGAGAUCUACAUCAGUUUGGGGCAUCCUGAAGUGAGCUUGAAUAUUCACCUGCAUUCGAAAAUCACUGCACGUUUUGGAUGUAUGACAAUUGCUUUUCAAAGUUUGUGUUUGUUGGUUUGUUUUAAAGAAAUGUGUGUCUGCAUGUACAUAUGUAUGUAGAGUCCAUGUACACACUUAUGAGUAUACAUAUUUCAACCUAAACUUAACUUCUCUUAGGCAUAUGUAUAGAGAGGAAGGUUGACUGGGAUACUGGGGCUAUUCCAGGAGGGUGAUACACCUUACGUGCAUUAGCACAAUGAAGAUUAACCCCAGUGUUUCAGGAUCCUUCUGUACAGUAAAGUCAAAAGAUUUUAGAAAAAGCUGCUCAGGAAGGCAGUAAUAAUGGUAGAUGUAAGCUUGUAAAGUGUUUCAACCUCUGACAGAAAUAAACAUUCCCAUGUUCUUUUAAAAUUAGAAGUA